GACGAACGCUGGCGGCGUGCCUAAUACAUGCAAGUAGAACGCUGAAGGAGGAGCUUGCUCUUCUGGAUGAGUUGCGAACGGGGGAGUAACGCGUAGGUAACCUGCCUGGUAGCGGGGGAGAACUAUUGGAAACGAUAGCUAAUACCGCAUAAGAGUAGAUGUUGCAUGACAUUUACUUAAAAGGUGCACUUGCAUCACUACCAGAUGGACCUGCGGUGUAUUAGCUAGUUGGUGGGGUAACGGCUUACCAAGGAGACGAUACAUAGCCGGCCUGAGAAGGGGGACGACCACACUUGGACUGGGACAACGCCCAGGCUCCUACGGGAGGGAGCCGUAGGGAAUCUUCGGAAAUGGAGGGAAGGCUGACCGAAGACAGCCGCGGGAGGGAAGAAGGGUCUCGGGGCGGAAAGGUCCGUUGUUAGAGAAGAACGAGUGUGAGAGUAGAAAGUUCAUGCUGUGACGGUAUCUUAAGAGAAAGCGACGGCUAACUACGUG
rnacentral:rRNA from 1 species